UACAGAGGUGGCAAGCGUUGUUCGGAAUUACUGGGCGUAAAGGGCGCGUAGGCGGUUCGUUAAGUCCUGUGUGAAAGCCCCCGGCUCAACUGGGGAGGGUCACCGGUUACGGCCGGGCUAUGAGUGCAGGAGAGGGACGUGGAACUCCGGGAGUAGCGGUGAAAUGCGUAGAGACCCGGAGGAACACCAGUGGCGAAGGCGGCGUCCUGGUCUGCGACUGACGCUGAGGCGCGAAAGCUAGGGGAGCGAACGGG
rnacentral:rRNA from 1 species